AGAGCCCAAUGUAGCCAAGGAUAAACUUGCCGGAAAAUAAGGGCACUUGAAUUGCCUUUGCUAGUUCCGGCCGCCGGCAAGUCAUCCUUGGCUGCACCACACUCUCU
rfam:Citrus sinensis cultivar Ridge Pineapple sweet orange scaffold00025_contig_21, whole genome shotgun sequence.